GUGUCCAACGUUCCACACUCAACUUCUUUGACCGCUAUAAGUAGCUUACACCAUGCGGGUACUCAUAGCGCACUUCAGUUCAUUCUUGUCAAUGUGAAUGCACUCAAAAUCCUGCUGCAGCAGCGGUGGAGUCCACAGCUCCAGACAUCGCCCCGCCUUCCCCUGCUGCUGCUGCCUGCGGGGUUCAGCCCGCUGUGAUGACCAUUAGCGUCUGGCUGAGGCUGCAGGAGAUAACAGUUGGAGAGUUAAUGAGGCUGAUAUGAAAAGGCUGGAGUCUUUCCACAACAGAUCCCCAAGAAACGCUUGCCUUGUUUUCUGGCUCAACAAGAUAUCCAACCAGGAGCUUCACACUCAGACCCAAAGCCAUAAAAUCCUUCAUGAGAUCACAGUGAUGCUAAGCUGGCUAGAACAUUUUCUGAGUAUAGACCACAACCAGAUUCUACAAAACAGUCUCCAGAUGAAUCCUAUCCGGUGAAAGAAAUCGAGUAUGAACUCGCUGCGUGCCAAUCUCCCCCUAUGGAGGGAGCUAAGAAGGGAAGAGGCUCGAGCUGUAGCAGCAAACGCUGGGAGUGAGCUGUUAACUCCCACACAUACCAGGAGCUGAAAGGUCUGCAAUGUUCACUUCUCAGCAGAAGCAGGACACUUCGGAGACAGUCCCUGUGCUGAUAAUCUUUCAUGGUGUGAGAACAAAUCCUGGAUGAAGCUGGCUCUAACACCAAGCCUAAUACUUUAGCCAAAGGUACAAAGAAAGACAAACUGCUUGGCCAGACUUUGAUCCUCCCAUACGAUGUUGAUGUGUUAAACGCUUUCCUAUCAGAUUGUGAACCCAGGGGCCGGUGCUACAGAUGAAAUUUUAAAUUCGGAACACAGACAUCCUGGAUCCCGCCAUUAAAAACAUUGUUUGCUG